GACGAACGCUGGCGGCGUGCUUAACACAUGCAAGUCGAACGAUGAACCCGGAGCUUGCUCCGGCGGAUUAGUGGCGAACGGGUGAGUAACACGUGAGUAACCUGCCCUUGACUCUGGGAUAACUGCGGGAAACUGUAGCUAAUACCGGAUACGACCCUCGGCGGCAUCGCCAGGGGGUGGAAAGAAUUUCGGUCAAGGAUGGACUCGCGGCCUAUCAGCUAGUUGGUGAGGUAACGGCUCACCAAGGCGACGACGGGUAGCCGGCCUGAGAGGGUGGCCGGCCAAGCGGGGAAUGGAACAAGGCCCAGCCUGAUACGGGAGGCAGAGUGGAGGAUAAUUGCGCAAUGGGCGAAAGCCUGAUGCAGCAACGCGGCGUGAGGGAUGACGGCCUUCGGGUUGUAAACCUCUUUUGGUAGGGAAGAAGCGAAAGUGACGGUACCUGCAGAAAAAGCAGCGGCUAACUAAGUGCCAGCAGCCGCCGUAA
rnacentral:rRNA from 1 species